UCUUUUCAGAAGAAGAAAAGACCCAGAAGCAUCUCUCCAACUGCCUCUCCUCCCACUGUGUCAUCUCUCCGUCCCCCCCUGCCCGUAGAUCUUAAAUAACUGUCAACUUUGGCUGUUUAAGAUCUCGGCUGACAGCUUCCUGAAAUGAUUUUUGAGCGUGAAGCCAUAAUAUAUGAGUUGGAUAAGAUGUUAAGGAAGGAUCCCUUCAAGUGUCAAGCUUGUACCCCAGAUGUGCUUUCAGUUUCAGUGGAUGGAAAUUGCAAGUAUUACCAUUUAAAGAAUGCAGCAAUAUUGGAGGAACAGGCUAUAUUUCAGGACCUUUUCAUAGCCAAGGAUGAAAACAUAGGAAAAUUUGUGGACUGUAUACGCUCUUAGAGAUAGGGUAUGAGAUAUUUGCAUAACCCUUGUUCUUUUCAACAAAGGCUGGCCAACAGACAAUCACUUUUUUUCCAUGUAUGUAACAUGCAAGUACUGGCCAUAUCUUGAAAACUAACAAAAAGCUGUCCUGAGCUCCAACACCUGCUUAAAAUGAAGCCAUUUCUCUCAAUUUUCCAUGGCAAAGCCCAUGAAUGUAAGAUACAGAUGGACAAAGCUUGUGCCAAGGCUCAUCGCAAGAUCAGAAAGGAGAAAACAUCUUAGCUUUGGCUUUAGAAGAUGUUGGUCACUUGAAGACUGAUACAGACACAGAAGUUCUGUCUUUGGAAGAGAUCCUGUCCGGUGACACAACAUUGCCAUGGCAACAAUCACACAGUGACUCUCAGUCUUCACACAAGAACAAGGGCAAUCGAUGACAUCAUGAUGGUAAAGAGACUGGAAGAGGAAAAGAGGAUCUUUGUUGAUGGACCAUCGUUGGAAAUCUCUGUCAUCCUAUGAAGACACUCUAAAGGAGUUUCCCACCUGUUAUCAGGAGGUAAAUUUAAAAGUUUGUCCUGUGCCCUAACUGACGAAGGUCCAAGAGGUCUCCAGAGCAUCAUCCUCAGAGAGCUGCAGCACCAACAGAUGAAGCUGCAGCUGCUGUAUUAUCUACAGCAGGGGAGCCCAAAGUGGGUCCUGGAGGCCCGGC